UUGUGACUUUGAAAAAUCUGAUGGACACUGUCUCUUCACAAUCGAUUGUCAUUAACUUCACAAUCGAUUAUUUUGAGCGUUGAAAAACUUUUAUGGACAGUGCCUCAUCACAAUCGAUUGUCAUUCACUUCACAAUCGAUUAUUUUGAGCGUUGAAAAACUUUGAUGGACACUGCCUCAUCACAAUCGAUUGUCAUCAACUUCACAAUCGAUUAUUUUGAGCGUUGAAAAACUUUUGAUAAACACUGCCUCAUCACAAUCGAUUGUCAUAAGGUUCACAAUCGAUUGUCAUGCAGAUUUGAAA
rnacentral:lncRNA from 1 species